GAUGAACGCUGGCGGCGUGCCUAAUACAUGCAAGUCGAGCGAAGCGGGGACGGGUGAGUAACACGUGGAUAACCUCCUAUCAGACCGGGAAAACUCUGGGAAACCGGAGUUAAACCGGAUACUGAUUGAUGGAUCCGCGCUGCUUUAGCUAGUUGGUACGGUAACGGCUUACCAAGGCAACGCUGCAUAGCCGACCUGAGAGGGUGAUCGGCCACACUGAAGCUGAGACGCGGUCCAGACUCCUACGGGAGGCAGCAGUAGGGAAUCUUCCGCAAUGAGCGGAGUCCUGACGGAGCAACGCCGCGUGGGUGAUGAAGGUCUUCGGGUCGUAAAACUCUGUUAUUAGGGAAGCGGUACCUAAUCAGAGAGCCACGGCUAACUACGUGCCAGCAGCCGCGGUAAUUC
rnacentral:rRNA from 1 species